rnacentral:rRNA from 1 species
GACGAACGCUGGCGGCGUGCCUAAUACAUGCCAGUUGAGCGCUGAAGGUUGGUACUUGUACCAACUGGAUGAGCAGCGAACGGGUGAGUAACGCGUGGGGAAUCUGCCUUUGAGCGGGGGACAACAUUUGGAAACGAAUGCUAAUACCGCAUAAAAACUUUAAACACAAGUUUUAAGUUUGAAAGAUGCAAUUGCAUCACUCAAAGAUGAUCCCGCGUUGUAUUAGCUAGUUGGUGAGGUAAAGGCUCACCAAGGCGAUGAUACAUAGCCGACCUGAGAGGGUGAUCGGCCACAUUGGGACUGAGACACGGCCCAAACUCCUACGGGAGGCGGCAGUAGGGAAUCUUCGGCAAUGGACGAAAGUCUGACCGAGCAACGCCGCGUGAGUGAAGAAGGUUUUCGGAUCGUAAAACUCUGUUGGUAGAGAAGAACGUUGGUGAGAGUGGAAAGCUCAUCAAGUGACGGUAACUACCCAGAAAGGGACGGCUAACUACGUG